rnacentral:miRNA from 1 species
UGGGAUCGGGAUCGUGGGAC